rnacentral:rRNA from 1 species
AUGAACGUUGGCGGCGUGGAUUAGGCAUGCAAGUCGAACGCUUUAUGUAGCAAUACAUGAAGAGUGGCGUAAGGGAGAGUAAUACACAGUUAGCUACCCUUGGGUCUGGGAUAGCGGCGGGAAACUGCCAGUAAUACCAGAUGAUGUCUUCGGACCAAAGGUGUAAUUUCGCCCGAGGAGGUGACUGUGUCCUAUCAGCUAGUUGGCGGGGUAACGGCCCACCAAGGCUAAGACGGGUAUGGGGCGUGAGAGCGUGCCCCCACUCACUGGGACUGAGAUACUGCCCAGACACCUACGGGUGGCUGCAGUCGAGAAUCUUCGGCAAUGGGCGCAAGCCUGACCGAGCGACGCCGCGUGCGGGAUGAAGGCCUUCGGGUUGUAAACCGCUGUCGUAGGGGAGGAAGCAACCGUGUAGAACGGAAGUUGACCGAUCCUAGGAGGAAGGGCCGGCUAAUC